AGACCUAGAACCAAUAGAGAGGAGCAGCUAAGUUAAUGCAUCGUACUAAGCAGAGAGGAGAAAAAAACAAUGACUCUCCUACUACUGGCGAAUGAAACGGUGAGAAGUCAAAGUGAAAAUUGUGCGUCCAGUCUUGGCCUCCCUGUUGCAGCCCCGAGGUAUGCGGCCCGUCCUACGGCAGGUCUAAUUUUCUGACAACAAAAUUUUUUUUCCUGCGUCUAUCGGUUGCACUUUCCAGUACCAUUAUUCUGCAAUGCUUUCCCCUAUGCUUUCGAUCGGCCCAUCCUGAAGUGCGGGACAAGAAGCCCAACCCGUGUAGAAUGCCGGAAGAAAUCCCGCAUGGACAAUUAAUGUGAGGUUAGGCAAAGGCUUGCUUCUGGCAAUUCGUUCAGUUACGACCUACCGCAAACUCUGUAAGAGGUUUGAGUUGUAGCCCAUCCGUCAGGACUCCGAAGGUGGUGAACUAUACCUGAGUAGGCAAGGGUACUGACGCGCAAAUGGAUCGUCACGCUCGCGUAUAGAGGCAGAGUCAUGGAUCCACCUGGUUGCUGGUUUCUUACGAAGUUUCCCGCAGGGUAUCUGGGGUUCACUUAGUCUUUUCUUAUCAGCCGAAUAUUUGAAUGCCUCGGGGUUACGUUGGCCCCGGCCUGUUCUCAACGCUCAACGUUUAGACAGAAGACGCCGUGUUUACCUCCUUGAGGUGCUGGGCUUAAUAUGAACUCCAUGUGGGGCAUUUUCGCAUAUCCAGCAAUGAGGUAUGCUCCUCACGCCUACGCCUGGUUAAUGUGCCCAAAGAGUACCCCAUCAGACACUGGAAAAGCUCUUGCUUUAUUUUGAUAGCAAGACGGUGGUCAUGAACGCCGACAUCCACAAUGUUGCGCGUUGCCCAAUGCUCCAGCCCUGAUGUUGGAUGCCCCUGCAGCGAGCUACCAAAAAAUGGGCGUCAUCGAAUAUUUUCAGGACUCGACUUUUGGCGGUAGCGGGUAAGAAGACAGGCACAAGACUGCUUUCCAAGACGGCGUUCGCAAACUAAAGCGCAUACGCACGCCUUUCUUGCGCGUGAGCGCACCUGCCGAACUGCAGCGACUAAACUGCGGUUGCGUCUGGGCAGUCGCUGAGGUGUGGAUGCUUGUAUACAUAGACGACGUGCUUCAGUCGGAAUGUGUAGGACCACAUGCAAUAGAUACUGCAUGUUGCAACUGUGGCCUGAGAAGCAGUGGUUCAGCAGA
rnacentral:ncRNA from 1 species